UACAGAGGUCCCAAGCGUUGUUCGGAUUCACUGGGCGUAAAGGGUGCGUAGGUGGUGAGGUAAGUCGGAUGUGAAAUCUCCAAGCUCAACUUGGAAACUGCAUUGGAAACUACCUUGCUAGAGGAUUUGAGGGGGGAUUGGAAUACUUGGUGUAGCAGUGAAAUGCGUAGAUAUCAAGUGGAACACCAGUGGCGAAGGCGGUUGCCUGGAGCUUUGCUGACGCUGAGGCGCGAAAGCGUGGGGAGCGAUCCGG
rnacentral:rRNA from 1 species